rnacentral:rRNA from 1 species
AACGAACGCUGGCGGCGUGCCUAACACAUGCAAGUCGAGCGAGAAAAGGGGAGCAAUCCCCUGAGUACAGCGGCGCACGGGGUGAGUAACACGUAGGUGAUCUCCCUCGAGCCCGGAAUAACCUACCGAAAGGUGGGCUAAUACCGGAUAUGACCACGGAAGUUUUCGGCUUCUGCGGUGAAAGAUGGCCUCUACCUGUAAGCUAUCACUCGAAGGAUGAGCCUGCGUGCCAUUAGCUAGUUGGUGAGGUAACGGCUCACCAAGGCUAUGAUGGCUAGCUGGUCUGAGAGGAU